rnacentral:rRNA from 1 species
GAUGAACGCUAGCGACAGGCUUAACACAUGCAAGUCGAGGGGCAGCAUGAUUGUAGCAAUACAAUUGAUGGCGACCGGCGCACGGGUGAGUAACGCGUAUGCAACUUACCUAUCAGAGGGGAAUAACCCGGCGAAAGCCGGACAAAUACCGCAAAAAACAGGGGCUCCGCAUGGAGAUAUGUGAUAGAGAUUCAUCGCUGAUAGAGAGGAAUGCGUUACAUUAGAUAGUUGGUGAGGUAAAGGCUCACCAAGUCGAUGAUGGAUAGGGGUUCUGGGAGGAAGGUCCCCCACACUGGAACUGGGACACGGUCCAGACUCCUACGGGAGGCAGCAGUGAGGAAUAUUGGUCAACGGGCGAGAGCCUGAACCAGCCAAGUCGCGUGAAGGAUGAAGGUUCUAUGGAUUGUAAACUUCUUUUAUUGGGGAAUAAAGUGCUCUACGUGUAGAGUUUUGUAUGUACCCAUUGAAUAAGCAUCGGCUAACUCCGUGCCAGCCGCCGCCGUAAAAC